rnacentral:lncRNA from 1 species
AGUAAAAUUAAUGAUGUCUAAGACAUUUCUUUGCAAUCUGGCAACUGGCUCAAUUACUUAAAUGCAACCACUUGGCUCAGUUAUGGGACUAUUUCAGAACUUGUGACCUGGAUAUGAUAUUUCUGAAGAAUAAAUAGGUUGCUUAUAAACAGGACAGCCAAGCAUUCUCUCAGACAUUCACUGAGCAUAAGAAGCAUGAACUGUCAGAAGUCAAAGAAUGUGCUUUGCCAAUUUCCUGUUCACGUUGACUAUCUGCAGGGAUCCCAAGAAAAUGGCUUACAGGAAGUCACCAGCAUCCUCUCCUUUGUUUCCCUGGAACCAAAGCACAAUAUUAAUGCAGACUGCUAACUGGAACCCCAGCACCACAUUUCCCCAAGUGAAUUAUGCCAGCCAUGGAGAGAGAAUGGAAAAAUGGUCAUCUCAUCAUUCUGCUCGCCUGUCAAGGAGAUGUGGAAAUGUGCUGGCAUUCCAGCUGAAGACAUCAUUAUGAGUGAGAAAAUGCUCAAGGUCCUUUUUCAAAGUGGGUGCCGAAAGAGAUGCUUUCCUUCUUUGACUUCGGGGAAGGCUGAGAGCUGCCCCAGAAGACAGGCAUUGAGAGGUCAGAGGCUAGCAAAGCUGACUGUGUGUGAGCACAUGUGUUUGAAUGUGUGCACACACAUACACAUGCAUUUGUCUUCAAGGUUUUUCUGGAUGAUGGCUAAAGUAAAUAAUCUUUUUUUUCCAAUAAAGGAUGCACAACAAAAGAAGAUGAUGAAGAUGAUGAAGAAAUCUAUAACAAAGGACAAUCAGCCUGCAGUGAGAGAAAUGAUUUUAAUAUCUGACAGGUUUUGUUUCCUAAUCUUUGCUAUUCAUAUUGACGGGUAG